GACGAACGCUGGCGGCGUGCUUUACACAUGCAAGUCGAACGGAGUGGCGAUCGGGUGAGUAACACGUGGGUGACCUGCCCUGCACUUCGGGAUAAGCCUGGGAAACUGGGUCUAAUACCGGAUAGUGUGGUAUGGGCCCGCGGCCUAUCAGCUUGUUGGGGGGGUAAUGGCCUACCAAGGCGGCGACGGGUAGCCGGCCUGGGAGGGUGGACGGCCACAUUGGGACUGAGAGACGGCCCAGACUCCUACGGGAGGCAGCAGUGGGGAAGAUUGCACAAUGGGAGGAGGCCUAAUGCAGCGGAGCCGCGGUUGGGAUGUCGUCCUGCGAGUUAUAAACUCCUAUCACCAUCGACGCGGUAGAUGGAGAAGAAGAACCGGCUAACUACGUGCCAGCAGCCGCGGUAAUAC
rnacentral:rRNA from 1 species